rnacentral:rRNA from 1 species
CCUACGGGCGGCAGCAGUGGGGAAUAUUGGACAAUGGGCGAAAGCCUGAUCCAGCCAUGCCGCGUGUGUGAAGAAGGCCUUCGGGUUGUAAAGCACUUUCAGUGGGGAAGAAAGCCUUGGGGCUAAUACCCUCGAGGAAGGACAUCACCCACAGAAGAAGCACCGGCUAACUCCGUGCCAGCAGCCGCGGUAAUACGGAGGGUGCGAGCGUUAAUCGGAAUUACUGGGCGUAAGGCGCGCGUAGGCGGUCUGAUAAGCCGGUUGUGAAAGCCCCGGGCUCAACCUGGGAACGGCAUCCGGAACUGUCAGGCUAGAGUGCAGGAGAGGAAGGUAGAAUUCCCGGUGUAGCGGUGAAAUGCGUAGAGAUCGGGAGGAAUACCAGUGGCGAAGGCGGCCUUCUGGACUGACACUGACGCUGAGGUGCGAAAGCGUGGGUAGCAAACAGGAUUAGAUACCCCUGUAGUC